rnacentral:rRNA from 1 species
GCCCAUGCCCGCCCUAAAGUCACCAAGCCCUGCCUGAUCUUGGAAGCUAAGCAGGGUCAGCCCUGGUUAGGACUUGGAUGGGAGACCGCCAAUGAAUCCCAGGUGCUUUAGGCU